rnacentral:tRNA from 1 species
GCGGCGUUGCCGGAGUGGUCAAACGGGGUAGACUCAAGAUCUAUUGGCUUAGUGCCUACGCAGGUUCGAGUCCUGUGCGCCGCA